CAAAAAGUAGCUUAACUACAAAGCAUUCGACUUACAAUCGAAAGAUGUUAAAACACUGACCUUUUUGA
rnacentral:tRNA from 1 species